GGCUUCAUGGUGUAGUGGUGAUCACGUCUGUCUUACACACAGAAGGUCCUGGGUUCAAUCCCCAGUGAAGUCU
rnacentral:tRNA from 1 species